UAGGGAAUAUUGCACAAUGGGCGAAAGCCUGAUGCAGCAACGCCGCGUGCGCGAUGAAGGCCUUCGGGUCGUAAAGCGCUUUUCGGGGAGAAGAGGAAGGACGGUAUCCCCGGAAGAAGGAUCGGCUAACUACGUGCCAGCAGCCGCGGUAACACGUAGGAUCCGAGCGUUAUCCGAAUUCACUGGGCGUAAAGCGCGUGCAGGCGGUACGGUAAGUUGGAUGUGAAAUCUCCUGGCUCAACUAGGAGGGGACGUUCAAUACUGUCGAACUAGAGGGCGGUAGAGGGAGGUGGAAUUCCCGGUGUAGUGGUGAAAUGCGUAGAUAUCGGGAGGAACACCAGAGGCGAAGGCGGCCUCCUGGACCGCACCUGACGCUCAGACGCGAAAGCUAGGGGAGCAAACGGG
rnacentral:rRNA from 1 species